rnacentral:rRNA from 1 species
UACGUAGGUGGCAAGCGUUGUCCGGAUUACUGGGCGUAAAGAGCGCGCAGGCGGUCGUGCAAGUCGCGUGUGAAAGCCCCCGGCUCAACUGGGGAGGGUCACGCGAUACUGCUCGACUCGAAGGCAGGAGAGGGAAGUGGAAUUCCCGGUGUAGUGGUGAAAUGCGUAGAUAUCGGGAGGAACACCAGUGGCGAAGGCGACUUCCUGGCCUGUUCUUGACGCUGAGGCGCGAAAGCUAGGGUAGCAAACGGG